rnacentral:tRNA from 1 species
UUAAUUGAAACCAAAGCAGAGGUAUGUCACUGUUAAUGACAAAACUGGGAUUAAUCUCCAAUUAAG